GGACACAGAGAGAGGGCAAGAGUGGAAAAUAGAAUGAGGCUCAGAAUACCAAGCCUUAGUGCCAUCCCUAUCAUCUGUCUCACUCCAUCACUGGGUGAUCUUGAGCAAGUUUCUUUCUUUCCGUCAGCUUAUUUCCUCAUCUUUAAGGAAAAUCCAUAGUGCAAGACAUUAAAUUUUUUUAAAAGGCUGAAAUCUCCCAUCAGUGUUAGAAGAUAAUAAGGAAGAAAUAAACUGAAACUUGCAUGCUCUAGAACUUGUAAAGGGGAGCGGGCUACUCACCUCCAGCCUUUUGUCAUCCAGGGGCAAAUUCAAGGAGAUCUGUGAACGUCCAAAUGGCUCCUGUCGGGACUUUUGCCUUGAAACAGAAAUCCAUGUUGGGAGAUGUUUAAAUAGCCAACCCUGCUGCCUGCCUCUGGGGCAUCAACCAAGAAUUGAGAGCACUACACCCAAAAAGGACUGAAGCCUGUUGUUUUCUGGAGGUUUUAUGUUCUCUUUUUUCUCUCUCCCUCUCUCUGUCUCCCUGUCUCCCUUUCCCUCUCUCCAUUUUUCUCACAGGGAUUUUUAUUGAAUCCUCAAAAAAGAAUAAACCAAAACCAACCAGCACAAAA
rnacentral:lncRNA from 1 species